ensembl:lncRNA
GUGAAAAACAACAAAAUGGAAUCAGAUAAAAUAACACAGCCCUGCAUAUUCAUGUUUUCACAAUAUAUAAAUAUAUAUAUAUAUAUAUAUAUAUGUAUAUAUAUAUAUAUAUAUAUAUAUAUAUAUAUGUAUGUAUAUAUGUAUAUAUAUAUGUAUAUGUGCGCACAAAGUUAUUGGGGGGGCAUGAAAGUUUUUGGUCCUCCGAAGGGGGGCCCAGCAGAAAAAAUUUGAGAACCACUGCUUUAAACAAACAAGUAUAUUUUGAUAGUAAUGUCGUUGUCUCCUGUAUGCAGACAAUAAGCUAGCUAGUUAGCCAUCAACGCUGGCUCCGUGGCUGGGCCGUCGUGCUAUGACGACUCCACCCAUGAUGAGGUGGUACUCAACUGUAAUGGAAAACGACCUGAGUCGAGUCGAGUAGGUGCAAAUGGAAAAGCGCCAUUUGAGUCCCAUGUGAGGCUUGAAAUGUUGACUUCUGGCUGCUGCAGCUUUAUAAUGAGCAAAUGUUUCACUAAAAUCAGACUGGACUGUAAGUUAGAUCUGAGCCAAGCUAAGGAAAAGUCUGUCUUUGUGAAACCGACCCCAUAUGGUAAGAAACCCAAGUAUGUGGCUGACCAAAAAAAAAAAAAAAAAGAAUAGAACAAGUAGCAAAAACACUUAAGUAAGGUUCUCUAAUUCAGCACUAGGUGGUCAAACACACAGUAGAGAGGUUUUUUUGUUGUUGUGAGCUUCAGUUUGUGUUUCCAGGAAAACUUAACGCCACACUGUCUGUUUUAGUUCUCACAACAUGCUCUGAAUUUUCACCCAGAAAUGUCAAAUGGACUGCUUUCCUUUUCCUUGGUGUGCUUACAGCUUGUAUGACAUGUGACCAGUGUGUGAUUGUGUACGCAUGCAUGUUUUCUAUGCCGAGGCGUAAAUCUGCUCAACACAAGCUCUUUGGGCACAUCCACACCUUCUUGCUGUGCGACCAUUCAGAGAAGUAAAGCUGCCCUCAUUUGUACAACCUAAUGACUUUUGUGAAAGGAAAGGCAAAUGGAUGAAAGCAGUGCUAUGAAAUGAUUAAAGGACUAUUUGCUUA